ACCUGCUGACUGACAAACAAAAACCAUCCUGGUCCUCACUCCACAAAGCUCAUUUUCUAGCUGCAGGCUCAGUUCACUGAUGCUCCUCUACACCCUCCAGUAUUUUGUAACAGGUUCAAAAUUGCUUUCCUGAUUGCACAUCACUCCACCAUCCAUCUCUCUUUGAAAGAACUAGACUUUUCUUGUCACUCCACUGCUUGAAGAGCACCUCUUGAUGUCAUUGGCACCAGGCACACCUGACAUUUGCUUGAGAUGAGAGCUUGCAACUGUGCCAAAGCUUUCCAGGUAAUAUUUGUCAGAUCAUAUGUAGCUGAAGCAAACAGAAAUGUAAAGAACAGGCAGACUAUCCUUAACCCUCACUAGCCAAGUUCUGCACAUGUUCCCCAGUAAAAUUCCCAAAUGAGGUCAAGGCAUUUAACUCAUUAUCAUCAUAGAUUUCCCUCUAGACAGAAUGAUGUCCGAUCAGAUGAGAAACACUCUGUCUAAAUCAUACAGAUCACCAAAAUCCACCACUGCAACACAGCUGCUUUGGACUGGAACACAGCAGCUAUCCCAAGCCAGGAGUGUUACACAACCAUUGUCUAGAAAGGAGGAAAUCAACAAAACUUCUCUGGUUUAAAUCACAGCAGAAAACUAAGUGAGUUAAAACUAGGCUUAGCCAAUGACACUCAGACUCCAGCAUCCAGGAAUGGGAGAUCAUGGUAGUUCUAGUGGCCACAAGCCACCAGGAAAUUAGAAGUAGGUUUCUAUCUGGGAGGCUGGAGGUCAGCAGUACUGUGGCUUCUACCAGCACUGAAUUAGUCCUAGGUUGACCCAGCCUGACGGCACUUCCUGCAACAUCUGGAUUUUCCUUGGAUGCCUCUGCCAAGUUGCAGCUUGUUCCAAGCCUGCUGUGUUCGUGAGACCUGAAAACAGACAGCUGGCUAAGAGCUGGCAGCAUCAAAGAAAAGAAUCGUGCUAAGAGCUGGGUUAUCCAUCUGCAAGCGGUUACAAGGGUAUCUACACAGACCAAGCACGGGCUGCCAGGUAUGGUCCAGCUUUACUUGCGUAAGCAACCCCACUGCUUUGUGGCAAUGUUGCAUGGGGCGGCCAGGUCCCAUUUCCAUCUCUGACAGCUUUUCCUGGGGUGGCUGCAUACGUGGAAAAGCCGAUCUUCAAGCAAGCUGCAACAGGAGCAGCUUACAGGGAGGGUUUCACCCUCCGUUACACAAGCGGAUGGUGCAGGGGGGUGAGUGACAGCACCUGGGAGGGCAGCUGAGCAAACAGUUUUCUCUUGGGAGAGAUGCAUCUCCGUCUCUCCCUACCUGCUCCCUGCACCCCCUUGGGCCAAUCUUGUCCGUGGGCACCCACUCCAACUGAAUAUUCCCCAUUUUUUGUGCAAACUUCAACCUAAGCAGGGUGUUUUUCUGCCGAUACACUUAGAAUGUUGGUGCCCUCUGCAAACCACAGGGCAUCCGCGUCGCAGCAAACCAACAGAUACUGUUUGCACAAAAGCACUCACACCUUUGGAUUACCAGGAUGAUUCUACAGGACGCAUGAAUGCAUAAGGGCAUGACUGAAUGCCACACUCCACGAUGGCACCCGUGGAGGUGCCACAAUGCCCGAUGAAGUCAGCUGGGGUGUCCGUGCUGGCAGUGGCAUGGUGGGCAACACUCACUGCAGGUGUUUCCUCAACUGCGCAGCUGCCCCAGCUGAGCUGAAGUUUUGAAGAAGAAAGCAAAGCCCUGGUGUAGCGUUUUGUGCAUGUGGAGGGUGUGCUGUGGAGCCAGAGUGUCUGGGACAGCUGCGGUCAAGAGGAAGCUGCCGCGGCUGCUCAUGGAGGAGGAAGUCAGUGUUCCAAGGCUGGAGGCAGGGGCUGAACAUCGUGGCCUGGGCUCAACCCUACAACCUGCAAGAGAUGCGGUGAUUUCAGACCAACGGUCUCAUGGUGCUGUGAGAAUACAUUGCCGUCACCUCUGGUAAUGGGAAACAUCUGAAUGACACCUCUGCAAGAUGAGAGAGGAGAUGGAAACAUGAUAGGGGUGUGAAGAACCCCAAGUUCACAGGACGUCAUGGGUGGUCACCCCAAAAUCAACCACCGGUAGAACUAAGGAUAUGAUUGUAAAGCUGGCAACUGUGAAAAGCAGCCAGGGGAUUUGUUCAUCAUCCCCUGCUCAGAGGACAUCCCUUUGACACCAUUCUCUACUCUGCUGCAGAUAAGAUGAAAUACUGUAGGUAUAUCACUCACACCUAUGGGACAGCGAUAGGAUACGCAUCAAGCACGGUUGCAAUUAAUCUCCCAUCCCCUGCAGGUAAACUACCAUUUCUCAGUGGCGGAAGAGAGAGAAUAAAAAUGGUAUCAAAGACAACCAACCUGUUUUCAUGGAGCAGAGUUCCUCUGUAAUGACUACUCCUAUAAAUAAGCACCAAGUAAGAGCCCCUGUCAUUCAUCAGCAAUAUUCUCUUCUGCGAUAUUUUUCAGUUAACUUUUUCCAUAGCCAGGAAUAACAGAGCAUCAGAACUGAGUGGACAAAGUAGCAGGUAAGAGGGCAUCAGGACAGCAGGUCCAGUUUUAAUGCUAUGACUUCGGGCAAAAAACUUAUCUGCCCCACUGUUUAUCCUUCCAUAAUUUGCCUGUCUUGUUGGUCCGGACUACAAAUGCUUUGGGACAGACGCCAUCUCUCAAAAUGUGUUUGCAACGAUUCCUCUCGGAGGGCACUGAAGAACAUAAGAAGUGCUUAGUACACCAUAAAAAUAUUUAGUAAAUAAUAGACAACUGUGAGUCACUGCCCUGUAACUCCAUGUCUGGUUCUUGGUAAGUAUUUCUAUACACAAUUAAGAGAUGUAAGAACAUACACCUCAUCUUCAAAAGGAGGAACCUAAGGAUCUUGGCUCAUGUGGAGUUAAAAACACAAUGGCUGAGGCAGACAGAUGUCCUGCUCAGUCUUUGCAGCAGAGGCACUGCUCUUGGAUGGGGAAAAUGAAGAGAACAGCUGAGAGCAGUCCCUGACUUCAGCUGUCCCCUUAUAUAGUGUUAAACACAAGUUCCCGAGCUCGCAUUAUCUCAAGCUUUUGAGCCACUUCUGAAAACACAGCUUCCUUUCUGGACACUUAAGGAUUUACUGGUCUCUUGGCAUUAAAAUAUGUUUUCCUUUUGUUGCGUUUGUUUUGCCUUAGUUCUUUACUGACCUCUGAGCAGAAUUUCAUCUUCUUUACAGUCUUGUUCCAUGAUUUAAAAAGGUUUGCUGAAGUACAGCGAUGAAUCACCUCUGGUCUGCAGUGCACUUGAAAAACACACUACUGUGGGAACAGCUUUGUCUGUGAGCACCUUAUAAGGAUGUGGCCCUUUGCCCUGUCUUUUCUUCACCUCUUUUUCAACUUUCUUCAUUCACUCAACUACCUGCAGCUUUCUCUUUAUUUUUCUACAGGAUCAUCUGGGUUUGCAAUACCAUAGAGGAGGUCCAACUGGUACACCUACGCCAGGUGUGGUGCUCCCGACCCAUCCAGAGGAGACCUUAUAUUGCUGAGGAUGUGUCUCCUGACCUCCAAUCAAAUCCGCCCUUGCACUCCUUGAGUGCUGACCAAGAUUUCUUGAUAGCCCAGUGAAAAAUCUUGGACAGUCCUGGUAACUGCACAUCACAACAAGCUGGAUGAGGUCUGAGUGUGUUGCAAAGACUGUGGAUAUACAUGAGCUGAUCAAUGAGCUUGAUAUGCCCAUGACCCAUUACUGUACCUGAUAAUGUUGGUGGGUCUCUAGCUCAUGGUCUCAGGCUUCUUUUCCAUUGGCUGUUUUAGCAGCACAAGUAAAACUGCUCUCAGGUGAGACCGCAGGAGAUGUUGUAAAGCAGUAAGUUUGGCUUGCCUUGGUGAACAUGUAGACUUGAUGAGAUAAGAGUUGCAGCUGGAUCAGCCAGAUGUUUGACCAGGUUCAAUGGAGCAGGAGAAGAAGAGAGGAACCAGCAUGUUGUUUCUCUCAUCAAACAGCUUCGCGUGUAUCCCUUCACACAAGGGAGUAAUUUUAAGCAUUUACCAGCAACAAUCUUGUUGGACCAAUUAAAUCAACCACCACCUUCAGUGCCCUCCCCUAGGGGCUGCGUUGAAAUGAGGACGUCCCUGCAACUGUGCCAGCAGGAGGAGGAAAGUCACUCCUGCUUCUCAGAAAUACACAUAUAAAAAUGAUACAGUGGAAAAUCUGGGAAUAUUCAGAGGGAGGCAGAGUCCAGGAGAAAGCAAAUCUUUCUGGAUCAGACCUAUUAUUCGCCCUCCAGAUAUUCAUGCCAUGAAAGCUUUAACCCAGGCCAGUCCAUAAGGGCAAAUUUAAAAGGCCAUUGCCGUGUUACUCAGCGUAAUCACAAUUUGAUUGACGGGGCUCUGCUUCUCUGCGAUCCCUCUGUGAAAAUCCCUCGCAGACAAAACUAGACGUCCCAAACCAUCAGAUACACUUUGUUCUGGCAAAAAUGGCAAGGUCUGAUUGUCCCGGGUCCCAGUGCAUUCCUCCUGCUGCUUCUCCUUAAAAGGCAUCAUCCACCUGGCCUGAUUACGAACAUGAACCAAGCAGCCUCACACUCACCCUCGCGUAGCAACUGCUGGGUUGUGACAGAUUUUAAGAGAAUUGGUGGUUAUCUGAUACAUAGUUGAACAGCCAUGUUCAAGGCUAUAAUUGAUCCUUGCUCUCUUUUCUUUGCCACAAGCCCACCUGCUGACUGCAGCUCUUUCCAUCAGGUUGUCCUCUAAAAAAAAAAUAAGGGAUUAAUCUUGUAGAGGAGUUCAAAUUACACAGGAGUUAUUUGACAGAGUAAUUUCUGUGCGUUGAGCUGAAGAACCAACCUGGGAGCAAAUCAAGCAGGGCUGUGCUCUUAAUGUUUAAAUCCUAGAGACUCGCUCAACUGGUGAUACGGUGGCACAAACGACACAGAGGGUAGAUUUGCAUUUGUUAUUUUCAUUUUCACAGGGUUCUGUCGCGCUGUGACGCGUGCUCCAGGCUGAUGCUGCUGUACCUUGAACCACUCCUUUUGGGUGAAUUUAACAGCUAACAACUUGCACGUAAUUUCAGCUGUAGACAAAAUGUGUGGCACUGUGCUUUUUAUUUGAAAAAUAGAGUCACAUCGAUGCAAAUAAAUAAGACUGGAAUCACUGAUGCUGCAGAUUAUUUGCAGCUUGGGAAGUGAAUAAGGUUUUAAAAAUAAUUUUUUAUGAACAGGUCAAUAUGGAGGUAAAGACCAGAAACAGAGUCAUUGGCCAUGUCCUGUAACUAUAUUUGGUAGUGUUUCUUACAUCAUCCUUUCUACA